GGAGAGGGUCUUGAAGUUAAGACAUACUAAACAAAAUAUUUCGCGAGCAUUAAGAAGAUAGGUCGAUAAACCGAAUAAAGCAACCUUAUUAGACGUUGGUUGAAAGUUUCAUAGCCUGCAGUCUGAUAUUUACCACAAAGACACGCUAUAAGUUUGCGAGGAGCUAACAAGUUACGUCCAUGUUAUAGUUGUAUAUAGUUACCUUUUGUAUAUAUUUAAGGACAAAAUCAACGAUGUGGAGUUCCCAGUUUUUGCUCUAGCGAUGCUUUGUUCAUAAUACGACAAUGAAAUUUCGGAGAAUAUGGAUCAUCAAUAUAUCAUUUUAUUAUCAUGGAUUAGGGUUCAGUAAAUAUACGAAAUGACGCUAGGGGGUGGGUCGAGAGAUAAAAUUUGGUUAUUGUAACACCCGUAUGACCAAUGAUACUGUAGCCUUUGGGAAAAUGCAAUACGUUACAUAAAGAGGGUAAUUAAUAAUGUUACCAAUUCAAGGACACAAAUUGUUUGCUUAUUUUGAAACGUUCAUUAACAAAACCUUCUAUCUCAAAUAUCUACAAUUACGUAACUGAUCAAAUUCGUCCUUUAAGCAUGAAUUGAUGGGAGAGCUGGUAUUCGAUUUAGUUAUCGUUGCUCUAUUAGAUUCCCGUCCUGUAUAACUUCUCUGUCUCGUAACGACUGGUGUCCGGCUGGAAACGGUUGCCACACUCACUGUGUAUGACCUUGAGCGCCCAAGGAUUCGCUGAGGCUCUAAGCUGCAUUUAGAUUUACAACGAGAACUGGGGCAACUCGAAGUUCUGUUCUUAAAACCCGAUUGAUCCCCAGCAGAUGCCAACAUUGUUUUGAAUUGUUUAUUCUUUGAAAUCCGAGAAGCUGUAGGUUUUAACUUAUCCACAGUGUAAUCCUCCAUGAUAUCUUGAGCAGCGUUUAAUGUUUCCCCUGGAUGCUGCGGAGAAUGCUGUCUUUCCUCCGAUAAUAUGAGGUCAUCAUUUAUAUAGGCUUCAUUAACUGGCUUGUUUGGUUUAGAUUGCUGGUCUCGUAAACGAGCUUGCGUUUCCCCAAAGCUUCCAGUGCCAUUUUUUAACUGCGUUGUCCCUGUUCCGUUGUCCUUGAAGUUGUCUGCGUAAUCAACCGACUUCGAGGGCACUUGAGAGGUUUGAGUAAGCCGUCUACCUAUUUCGUGUAUCUUGAGAUUCAAAUUUAUAAUUGCCCUACGUUCUUGUUGACGAAAUUUCUCGAUUUGUGUUUCCAACCAUUUCUCGUCACGUUUGGAGUGCCAGUAAGCGACAUCCCAGUUAUACUUUAGAGACCUUUCCAAAUGAAAUAGUUUUCUGUUUCUCACAAUCACUCUUCCGUCAUCCAGUUCACAAGUUGCCAUUUCCAGUUGUUAUCGAAAUUCAAUUGGAACACAGAUAAAGUAAACUUCUGCUUUUUCUGAGCUGAAAUAACGCAAUGAUAACUAAAUGCGUUGUCCCUUUAAACUUGUUUAAUAGAAAUUAAUUCAUAGAAACUUUGGUUGAAUUAUGACUAACUGGUGUACGACAUUUUGUUACUGAUUAAGUUCAAUACACGUAAGGAAACAUGACUAACCAAUACGAAUCUGAGAGUUAUUUACUUAUUUAUGUUCUCGGCGGAAAGGAUCCCCUGCCAUUGAAUAGUUAGAAGGAAAUUCUUCUUUAUAUACAAUGACGCACAAAGCUAAUUCAACGCAAAAAGAGUAAUCAGGCUAUAAUUUCAAAAACAGUAUUCUUGCAAAAAGCAUGUCAAAUGAUACCAGCAUUAAGUGACGAAAGUGUGGUUUUGACACAACGAAAAGGCCAAACAUGAUCCUUAUAACACAUCGCUCGUGUGACAACGAUUACGUCAAUCAGAGUCAAUGUAGCUUAUACUGCCAUUUUGACACUGCAAUCUCAAUGCAUUGGUGUGUGAUAUAAGUGGUUUAAUUGUGUCUUUAAAUAUUUACUUUGCAUUCAGAUCAUAAAGUUACUUAAAAUGAAAAGUCUGUCUGAUACAUUCUAUUAUUUUGCUUCUCUUUUUUGGACAAUGAAUUCGUUUUGUGAAUUAUCUCAAGUUUGAAAGGAAAUCCAAAAACCACAAACCCUUGCAAAACAGCAGCCAAAAGCCGCAGUCUGCAAUGAAAUAAAGCGCAAAGACGUGGCUGCGAUUGCAAAAUGGUCAUGUGACAAAAAGCGAAAUACUCGCAUUCACGGGAAACAUCGCCUGAAGUAACUGUAUGGCGUGUUUCCACUCUGAUUUACGGAAUAAUCAAUAUGGUUGAUAACAGAACAGUCCAAUCUUUCCACAAGUACAUAUUUUCCAAAAUACAAAAUGUUCCAACGAAGUCAGAUCUUUGUUUGUGUGUAGCCGUAGUCAGCAAAUUCUUUAACGCCGAUCAAACCAAAUAUGACAAACCUCUUUAAAUGUGAAAUCAAAAAAAUCAAUUUUUUAUAUUUUUGUAUAUUUUGACCACUUAUAAAUAACUUUGGUUUCCAGUUUGAAAUGUGGAAUAACAAAAUAACUGAAUACCUCUUUAAAUGUUGUGAGAGAAUUAUCUACUUGAUAACAGCAUUGACUAUUUAUACAUUCCAAAAAGUUACAUAACAAGUUACUGUAAUACCUUAACUACACGCUACUUUACAUACACUACAAAGACGAUACUCCGGGGAGCAUUAACACUGUCUACUCCGGGGCCAUAACAUAGAGAGGAAAAAAUGCAUGUUUGUAAUUACAAAUACUUAAAGAUAUAAGAGACUAUUGAUCUCAAGCAUUGACUCAAGUGACUAUUGAUCUGUAGACCUGUUAAGAUACCAACCAUAUUACACCUUGGUUUAAAAGGCUUUACAUACUUUACGUUUAGGAAAAAUACCAAUAGCAUAAAAUCUACCGCAAAUACUUUUGGCUUAUAUUAUCUCAACGAAAUAGACCGGAACAUCAAAUAGCAUCAUCAACAUGUUUUUAUCUACAUUACUUUAUUAAGUUAUUCUUAUCUUGAAAAUUUUGUUCUUGACCAUAUCUUUGAUUUCAGUAUGGCGCCAAUAAGUAAUGUAAAGUAAUGUUAAAAGUGAUUAUAAGUUACGCAAGGCAUUAUUAUGAAAAGCCACAAACACGCAACCGCAAAGAGAAUUUGGCCCACUUUAACUGUUUGUUUUAAACUUGAUGAAAGUUUAAAUCAUAAAAAUAAAUGCCACUGAUCAUUUUAAGCCUUAGAAACAUACGGAAUCUAUUUGAUUUUUUAUGCAUCCAUUCUUUACACAUUUUCAAUGUUUGUGGCUGCAAAAAUUGGUUUUCCCCAAUUGUAUGUGAGUCGGUCCAACUUCUCUUGACACCUGAAGGCAGAAUGGAGCAUUCGACAAUUUCGAAAUACUUUGCUUUGUUAAUUUUGAAAUAUGAAAUAAUUGCAAGAUAUCAUUAUGAAAUUUGAAAUAACGUCAUCCCCCCUUAUAGGGCCUCAAAUAUCUGGGAAAGCUAACAGUUUUUAUAUGUAACCUAGCUUUGCAAGAAAUGUUUUCUAUCAUCUUGUACUAUGCCUGUUUGGAAGGUCAAAAUCAAUCAACUGCCCAACGGAACAAUGUUGGUUUACAAUAAAAUGGGUUAGGAUUUCAGGAAACACUUUCUUUUGAGUUACUUUUAUGAUAUUUCUCUAAAUUAUCAGCAUUGUUCUAGAAGGAAGGGAGCGGAAGUAGUAAUUUUUCCGGAAAAGGAAUGAAAGAUGUAGAAUGCAACGCAAAAUUCUGGGUGUUCAAGUACUUUUGGCAGCCAUUGUACCAGAGUCCAGAAAAUUUGUUAACCUUCCCCCAGACAAAAACAUCCCAGAAGGCAAACCUCCCUCACAAAGAAAGUGGGCGUGGCUUUGGUGUGUCAUAGGAGCUUCUAUUGUUUUUUGCGGACCUUCCUCCGGUCAGUGACCGUGCGACCGUAAUGUUUCCUGCUGCAUUGUAACUGUGAUGCAACUAUUAGUCUUUAAAAGUAACAUAAGACAUAAGAAACUAUUAAAACAUUUGUCGGGCAUUUAUAAGUAUCCUCUGAAGUUAAGAUUCCAUAAACCUGUCAUUUGGCAUUGAUUAAGUUGUUGAAACCAAGAUGUAUCUGUUUCUCAAUGUCCCCUAAAUUAACAUCAAGUUUUUUCAAUGAUUUUAGUGUGCCAUCUGUCUCAUAGUUAAUUAUUGCGAAGAUAACAGAAAACCUCCAUUUGGGUCCAGGGCUCCGGGAAACAUGGUGAGAAGGUCUUACCAUAUUUUGCAUUUCCGGGAUCUCUUCGCAUUACGCCCUUUCAUGGUUAAUAUUGAUUUAGAGAUAGGAGCACGUGGCAUGGAGAGAGGUUCUCUUUCUUGAGUAUACGUCAUUACAUAAAAUCAUAUAUAUAGAUAUAUUCUUAUUCGAAAACAUGAUUCUCUCUGUAGUAUACGCCCAUGUUCCGCCCAAGUGACAACAGUAGUUAGUAAAACACACACACUUAUCUUUUUUUUAAGAAACCGUUCAUAAAGGACCGAGCCCAUCGAAACGCUAAUUACAAAAAGCAUGGCCUAGUCUGGAAUUAAUCGAUUUUUAAUUGAAUGAUUUGUUACACAAUGUUUUUAUGAAAAUGUCGAUACCAUAAUUUUGCCUAUUUUUGGAUUUUUCAACUUUUUUGGUUUGAAAAACUGAAGUACGACAAAUUGUUCUUCGAUUUUUGAUAAAUGUAUAGUUCUUUGCCAACCAAUUUUUCGCAAGGGUUUUUUAAGGAAAUUUUCAAGGAAAUUAGUAAAAGUUCGACGUACAUCAGUUCGAAUGAACAGAGCUGACUCUAUACCAGAAGCAGCAAAGAGAUUAAAAACUAGAAUAAAAAAGAAAACUGAUCAAAAUUGGGCCGACAAUGCCCUGCAUGGACAGUUUUUCAGAAAAAGCGAAAAAUGACUUUGAAAAAAGUAAGCUUAAAAGUAACAUAAUGUUUGCUUUUUUCAAAGCCAUUUUUAAGCUUUGUGCCACCAAAAGAUUAUUUGAAAAAUAGAAGAAGCUGCUAGCAAGGAGAGGUUGACAUGGUUUGGUUGAGGUGGGUAAGAGGAGGAUCAAAGAGAAACAGAGAUGCUCAUUCUAGCUGCAUAGGAGCAAGCAAUUAGAACGAAUCAUAUCAAAGCAGGCUAGAGCUUUAAAAACUUUAAAAACGGAUAAGUUUAAAACGGGUCUCCUAUUUAGACAGGGAAUUUUGCAUAACAUUCUAGCAAACUGGGUAACCGAAGUUUUUAAAGUUUAAAGCAUAAGAGUAAAGGCCACUGAUCAUUUUAAGCCCUGGGAACAUUCUGGCAAAUGACCGGAAAUUGCGUUUCCGGAAGCAUGAAAAAUGCACGGUCAGCAAAAUUUCAACUUUCAAAUCUGAUGAUACUAUCGGAAAGAACAUGCAAAACUGAGCAAAAGAUUUAAAAAGAGCAAUGUGAUCUGACCUAUAAGCAAAAAUUUAUGGCUGUGGAAACUUUUCGUUUAUCAAACAACUUGCAUUCUCGAGUUUCCUGAUAGUGCAGACGCAUAGCAGUGGAAUUGUGCAUGUUAUGAUAAUAGCAUGAAGUUUGGUACAAGUAUACAAUCCGAUAUGCUGAAUAAGAUGAAGUUCAUAUCAAGCUUUAAAAAAGCCCUCAAAAGCUAUUUUUGGACUGGGGUACUGGGAUAACCUUUUUGACGUCAUCGGUAAUGUGACUUUGAUGAAUUUUUGAAAAUGUUGUAAGAGCCUGAAAUAUUCGUAAUACCAUAUUGUUCCAUAAUAUAGGGGGUGAAAGGGUGUAUUGAAAUACGAAAAUACGUUAAUUUUUUCCGGCGAAAUACGAAAUCCGUCAAGUUAAUGUGUUAUUUAUACCAAUAGUCACGAUAUCAUGAUAUGUAUUUGUUAUUGAUCCUCACAGCUUUUCCAUAUCGAGUGGAAACUCCGAUCAGAAACGUUGACCUUGUGUCGAGCUCAGAAUUUGUUGCAUCAUCAUCUUCGUCGUUAGUACUUGAAUCAUACUCGAGUUCAAUUUCUUCAACUUCGUUUCCAAUGCUGUCAAUUUCCUCUGCAUCAACCACUGUAUCUUUAUGAUUUGCAAAGUUAGCUUUCUCUGUGAUGAUUAGCUUUCUUUGAUAGAUCAUUUCAGGCAUGGUGCCAUGUUUUGUCAUGGUCGUUUCUUGACGAGUUGUCCUCUGACGCACCGCAGCGCCAUACGUGUAAGCGUAACUUCGCAUUUCACCGACCGACUUUUCAUCCAUGUUUAUCUGAGGUAGUGGGGAAACCAAAGGUAGGGUUGUUGAAUGAAUACCAUGCUCUGGCUUUGAAUACCAUGAGGCUUUUUCACUUGUGUGAUAGUAAAAGGAUGAUGAUGACAAGCGCUUGAUACUUUCUUUGACGGUUUUGCCAAAAUCCCUACAGUAUUCUUGUUUUGAUAGUAAAUUAUGAGUGUUUAAUAUGGCUUGUUGAAUGUAGAUGUUUCACAUCCAACGUCAUGCAGCUGAGAAGGUUCGUGCCUACAAUUCCAAAAGAUGACAUUAUAGGAUCCAACCUCUGCAAACCCCAAGCUAGAAUAUCAACUGACUUGAUUGUAGCCGCAGAAACCAUCUCCUGUGGUCCAUUUAGGAUACUUGGUAAACGUUCUGUAGAACGAACUGCUCUUUCAAAGUCCAUAAGAACUUGCUUGCACUGUUGCACUUUGUUGGAUGCUUGUGACAGUGUCAUGUUUGAGUAUGACUGUCCUUCUUAUGGACAUAUGAACAAACAAACAUCUUUACAUGUAAAUUAAAAAGCUGUGCAAAAUGUGCAAAUCAGGGGUACAAAAUACGAAAAUCCGUUCUGCCAAACUUAUAAAUACAAAAUCCGCUCUUUGAAAUUAACGAAAUACGCCGAUCCGCCAAGCCUUUCACCCCCCACCAUAAUCAACCGAGAAAACAAAGGUUAGGCAAUGCGGUCGGUGGUUGAGAGGAAUGCCCUGCCUAGAAUGUUAUGCAAAAUUCCCUGUCUAAUUGGAUCAGGUUUUACCCGGGUAUCAUUUAACCAAUCUGUGGGCUAGUGGGAACGCCAAACACGGAUUACUUUGAUCCACUUUAUAUAACAACCACAGCGUUAUAUAAAAAAUGCAAGGACAGUUGCUGUAAAUAUACCGAUUUCUCGCACAGCUCUGCGUACUUUGGUUUCUGUUUAAAAUAAGCUAGAUCUGAUUUACUUGGCUAAAAACACUUGCUAUAUAUCAUUUGAAAGGUCUUGAUGUCCUCUAUUCAGAAAUCUAUAUAUUGUUGGCUUUUGCUCAAAAUAUAAGGUAGGAGGAGUGUAAAAUGUGUUGCGAUUGACAUUUUAUGACGUUAUCAAAAAUUGAACUUCCGCUUGAGAUUGGUAAUCGCAAAAUUCGGAAUCUACAUUAAAAUCUGAUCUAGAAUCAGCUUUUAAAAGUUUGACAGCCUUCAGAAUAAGCUUGUUACGGUAUUGUACCAGUCUCUUACCAAUGGAAAUUGAUGGUAGCCAUUCGAACGGCUUCCUAAGGAUGCAACUGUAUGAAGGCAAUAGAAAUAGAUCUGCACUCUGCAGUUUUCUCGUCUUUUUCUAAUGUUCUCCAGAAUAGCUUCAUCAAUUAAAGCAAGUCGUUUUCCCCAUACAGCUAACAUAAAUACUUGUCCAAAGCAUUGACAACAUUUGAACUCGGCCCAACGACUAUGCCAAGCAAAAACAAGCAACCCUUAGUUGUCUUUCAUUGCAAUCCAGCAGGCCCUUUUCCUUGACGUAUGGAAGGCGAUACAUAAUCACUACCUGUAAAUGCGUGGGUACGAAGGCAGUGGCCUUCCAGACGCAAGGUUUAACAGGUUUGUCUUUUCUAGAUCAGGAUUAAAGAAAUAAAUUAUGAAUUGGCCCCAGAGAAGAUGAAGGCAGAGUAUGGUAUUGAUUCGAAGGCUUGUUGCGCUCAUUAUGCGUCGUUAGAGCCUAUGGGAUACGAAAAUCAUAAAAUGUGCUUAAUAGAAGGAGCAUUCAUGGAUCAAACCCAGAUUGCAAUAUACGAUGAAACGAAAGAAUAACAGGCAAAGUGAGAAUUCAAGAAGUUCUUGGGGUGAUUUUGGGAAUAUUUGAUAGCAUGUAGGACAUAGAGCCUUCGUUCCAUUUGAAAGGGACAAAAGGAAACGCUAUGCAAAAAGAACUAAUUCAGCAAAAUGAAAGCCAGAAAGCUUAACAAUGUUCAGCUGUGUAUACUGUCACAAAAUCGAGCAUUGAUCACUGGACCGCACAGAGAAAAAAUCCAAACAGAGGCAGGCAUUUCUGCUACGAAAUCAACAAUGUUGUAACUGCACUGGUGCAAAACACAUCACAAAAGACUGCAAAAGCAUUGUAAUAGGCAUAAUGGGUGACAUUACUAGUUAACAUUGACUUGGCGUUUAGAGUAAGAGCAGAGAGAACCAAGUCUCCAUAGCCAGGAGCAAUGGUUUUGUAGCCUACCAAACUGUGCAGGCAAGGAUUGGCUUUCCUUGAAAAGUUUCAACCAUUUUGUCCGGGAUUGUAGAAGUGCAGGGAAUCAGUGGCGUCACAUCUUUAUCGCACGCACCCUGCAAUAUUUUGGUUGCGCCAAAGUUUGUAAAAGUAAAAUUUAAAAAUAAAGUUUUUAAUGCAAAUUGUUUGCAUAAAAUAAAUAAUCGAUUUAUGCAUAGCCUACGGCCCACGGGCCACAAUUCGGCCGGGGGAGAGAUCAUCUUAUGGUUUCCAUUAUGGUUGGCAAGGAUAGUUUUCCGGGGGUUGCAAAUAUUGGAUGAAACAUAUCGAUUCAAAAUGAGAUUAUUUUCAUCAAACCUGGGAAUCAUGGAAACAAUUUGUCCACUAUCCGUUGUCAAGAAUUCAUUUUGGUGAAAGAUAGGACAACAGAACUUUUGAGUGACUUGGCAAAAGUUAACAAAUGUAGCAAGAACGAAUUUUGCUCGGCACACUCAUAGCAGUUGAGCUGUUAUCACAUUUGUUUCUAUUUUGUCAUGUCUCAGUUGAUAAUGAGCCGAGGAGCUUAUAUUAAAAAAAAUUGAUAUUUUUAUUAAAGUGAAUGGCCUUUGCUAAAAGACCGAUGCUAAACGUUGAUUGGUGGAUUAUUCAGUAUCUCCUUUCUAGAAUGACUUCGCCAAAGCCUGAAUUACAUAACUUAGAGUUUCAGUUGUUUUCUUCAGUUUUCUCUUUUGCACUUACGAUUGUAGUAGUCUUAUCUUGAAAAUCAAGGCUACCUAUUUGGAAACUACCUUGUGAUAGAGUGGUUUUUGAUUGUAGUGUAAUUGAAUUUAAAUGAAAAUUUUCCGCUAUAGUAGUCGCCAUUUUAUUACAGCUAUAGUAGUCGUUUUUCUUAUUACUCUUGGCCCGCUUUGAGAAAAGAUUUGAAGGAUCUGGCCCACUCUCCAAAAUGGUUACCCACACUUGAUACAGAGCCAGUCCUCUCCUCGAUAUGUCAACGUCAACUUUCACACAUUCUUUGCAUUAAGUCACUCCUUACAAUAAAAGGUAUGUCUUCAAAGAUUAUAUCGGAUAACACCAAAACAGACGGAUGGGUGGUUAAUAAUAUUCCUUUCUUAAGACUUAAGUCACGUGGUGAUCUUCCAGAUAAAAUAUUCUGAUUCCUCACUAACACGUGGCAUUCUGUGCAAUCAGAGCUUUCUGCAAGGUCACUUCAGUGGAAAAACUGACUUCGAGUAAAAAUUCACAAGCAAAGUCUUCGCUCUUAAAGACGUUUCAUCGCAACCGAUAGCAAGUCUUCAGUCGGGCAAAAACGGGACAGUUUCGAAGGAAGUAUAAAGUGAAAUCAUGAGGAAGCUGAUAAAAGAAUGGCUCAAGUGAUGCCAGUUUGUUACAUACCCUGAAGGCGUUGUUGCCUAAGAGUGAGACACCCACGUGCUGUUUGUUCAUGCACUGCAGAAAUUCGUGCCGUCAAAUCCUUCAACUUUCAUUUAAUUGGUCCUGAAGAGAAAAAAAUUGUCAUUGCCUUAUGAAAUUUCGCAAAUUACUAAUUUUUUAAAAUGCAGUUUAAAGUGAGGAUUUUGCUAUAUUUGAUUCUCCUGUAUACCAUGGUAAUCUUUUGGAUCCUAAUUCUAUCUAAAAUAAGCAUACAUUUCCACUCCAAAAAAUUUGACGUUGCGUCUCGCUAGCCAGAUACUUACCCUGGGUACCAGAUACUAUGCACUAAACCCCCGUCUUCUUUGGAACGGGCUCGGAAAGCAUGGCUUCUACCGCUGGGGACUGAGAAGAAACAUGUCGCUUUAAUGUGAUAAAUAUGCGUUCUUAUGAUGAACGCAUAGACAAGGAAUGCAAGGUUUAUAUAUCACUUUCAAUUGGUUUAUGCUUCGAUUUCCGCUAUAAAAUAUAGUGCAUAGUAAUAAGACAUCAUUUGUAUUCGACCAUGAGUUCUGAUCCUACUUUUAUCGAAAAUGUCAUUUCAUACAUCUACGUGGAUGAUUUUGCGCCUUCCUACGCAUCUGAGGAAAAAUGUUUUGGAAUGUAUCAAAAACUGAAACAAUGUUUUAUCGCCGGAGGAUUUAAAUUUCGAAAAUUUUACGGAGAAUAGAAGCGCAAGAAAAACUGUCAAAUCAAGCAGACCUUUCGGGAAAUGAAGAUGCCAUUUAAUUAAUUCAUUUGAAAACAGGGAAAACGCCCCAUCUCGUGUUAUUCGAAAUGAAAACGUGAAAGUUUUGGGUAUUCCAUGGGAUCAGAACAAAGAUAAAUUAGCUCUGAGCCUCAGCUUUUUCGCUCAUGUCGCCACGGAGAAAGGGGUUAUGAAGCGCAUCGUUAUUAUAUAUAAAUGGUUCUGUUAUAAUAGAAAGUAAGAAUGUUAAACUUUUGGGAGUAACAAUAGACCGUCAACUUAUAUUAGAAGAACAUAUUAAAGUUUUUUGUAAAUAAGCUGGGAAAAAGGUAAACGCUCUAGCCAGGAUUGCUUCGUAUAUGGACAAAUCUAAGCGAAUUCUUUUAAUGAAAACGUUCAUAUUAUUAUAUUUUAAUUACUGUCCUCUUAUUUGGAUGUUUUGCAGUAGGAAAAGUAAUAAUCGAAUAAACCGGAUUCAUGAAAGAGCAAUGAGAAUAGCUCAUGAUGAUUAUGAAUCAACUUUUGAAAAACUUUUAAUAAAGAAUAAAACAAUAACUUCUCAUAAGAAAAAUUUACAAUAUCUUGCGUUAGAAAUUUACAAAACAUUUAACGGAUUGAAUCCACUUUUUAUGGAUGAAAUAUUUUCCAUAAAUGAAUGCCCAUAUUACUUAAGAAACUCCCAAUUCAAAACAGCGGAGCCACAUUACAAAAGAUAUGGAUUUAAUACCGUAUCAUACAGAUGUAGCCAAAUAUGGAACUCAAUUCCAAAUGAGAUAAAGUACUCCCCUACUUUAUCAAUAUUCAAGAAAAAAAUCUCAGAAUCUACAUCGUUUGAUUGUACCUGUAAUCUUUGCAAGGAAUAUGUUAACAACAUCGGUUACAUUUGAUUUAUAUUAUAUUUAGCGCUGGUAAUUUAAAUUAGUUGGUUUUAAUUAGCUUGUAUGUAUAGCUCGAGAUUGUACCAACUUUAAAUAAAGAAAGAGAAAAAAAAAAGUACAAUCGCGCGGCUUUUUGAUCCGCUGGGUAUCGCCGCUCCUACUUGCGUGUUGUUAAAACAGUUAUUUCAAGAGAUUUGCUAAAUUAAAAUUGGCUGGGACGAUUGUUUACCAAGCGAAAUAUCAAUCUGAUUUCAACACAUUGUUCAAAGCAUUAACCCGAAUGACGUUAAUUAAAGCUGUUGAAUUCAUUGUUUUGGAGAUGCCAGCAUAAUUGCGUUGGGCGCCUGUGUUUAUAUUCGCUAUCUCACAUGGCUGCGUUCACACUGCACAAUCAUUUGAAAACGCCUCCAGUCGCUAUCAGAUAAUUUCUCUGGAAUCUUUUGUUAUGUUCAAAUUGGCAAAUAUAAAGACGCUAGUUAAUGCGAUUUUGCUUGUUAGUUAGCUGCCAGUUUAGUUACACGCUUGGGUAAGCGAGAUGGAUUUCGAACUUUGAAUAACUGAACUCGAAAAGCCCCCAGCUAUUUGGGAUCCCAGGGAUCCUAGGCAUUGCAACAGAGAUGUUACAGCAAGAUGUUGGACAGAGGUUGCACAAAUAAUGCAGUUCGAAGGUAGUGCGAAGUUAAACAUAAAUCACACAGAAGUAGCAGAUGGUUUGGCAGGGUUUGCAUCAUGAUGAAAACUGAAAGAUUUUGCCUACUGUUGGGAUCGAAAACCAAGCAAUGCGACUAGAUAUUGAAGAAAAAAUUCUUGUGGUUACAACUAAGACUUGUGAUUCAAGCAGUAAAGCCAAAGUUGCUGCUAUCAAUUCUUUUGGAUAUGGUGGAAGUAAUGCUCAUUUGAUUGUGCGAGAAGCUGAUACAAAAAAUGAACAUAGCGUGAAUGUUAAGAAGAUAUCGCACCACUGUAAAGGGUCCAUGAAGGUUUUCGUUAUUUCAGCAAGGUCCCAAGCAGCCUUGAUCGAUUCAGCAGUAUCAUUUAGUGACUGGCUUCUUACAUUGGAAGACAACGAUGAGAAUAUUUCUAAUGUCUGUUACACACUAUGUGAGCGACGCUCCAAUCACAACGCUCGACUAGCGAUAGCAGCUGCGAAUUUGAAAGAAGCAAGAGAAUUGUUGACCAGGUUCUCCGUCAAUCCUAAAGACAAAAUCACAGGCAUAACCGCUGGAAAGACCUCAAAACACUGCACUUCUGUUGCUUUCGUGUUUGGUGGGCAAGGAUCUCAAUGGCUUGGGAUGGCAGGUGACAUUCUUGCCAACCCUACAAUGUUUAAGGAGAUUAAAAGGAUUGACAAACGAUCAAGAAAAAGAGGACAUAAAGGAUCUUUGUUGGCAUAUCUGAAGCUCCACAUGGAGAAGAUUAAAAAUAUAAAGAAAACUGUCUUGUAGAAGUACAUCUGUUUGUACAAUCAUGUGGAUAUUCGCUGAUAAUAUCAUGUCGAAAGUGUUGAAGACCGGAGAAGGCAAAAUAUGUCGAAGACAUAUUUAUUGCUGGCAAUGAUUCUGUGAGAGGCUUGACCUGGGCUCUUGCUUCGGUGGCAUCCUCCAAAGAUUUGGAGGUUUCAUGGGAAGAUAACUCUAAUGGCAAUUCGAAGCAGCGGCUGUUAAAAGAUAUCUCAAAUGAAUAUUUGAAAGCCAAUAGGGUUCAUAGAAAACCAGUGGAUUGUGUAAUCUACCUCUGUGACAUCUACAUGGUUCGUCAUGAGGCUUUGAUACGGCCAACAAGAAAAGGUAAGGCUCUUUAAACAAUCGUAAAUUUUCAGUAAUGCGGGCUAAAAGUCAAGUAUUACAAGGUACUUGAUGCUUUAAACUGAAGAUAUGCUCAAUGACUGAUAUAGAGAUAUAUGAAUGCAAGCUUUGGUAUACAGAAAAAGACGGUUCUAAGUAGUGACUCCAUCUGUUAUCUUGCGUUAACAGCUUUGUCUAUACAAAAGAGCUGUAUCGCGUUUAUUGUGCGUAUCCUCUGUAUGCGGCAUCGGGUACUAUAUAAAAAGCCAAGUUUUACAUUGAUUUUAUUUUAAAUAAAUAUACAGUGGAAUCCCGAUAUAACGAACUCUGAAGGGACCCAGCAAAUAGUUCGUUAUAUCGGGAGUUCGUUGAACCGGGAAAAACAUUUUUUAGAUCUUUUCGUAGUUCACACGCAAAAAUCCUGCGAUUGGCUUGUUUAGGCUAUCUCUAACUUCUGUGCACAUUUAACUAAAAAACCAAGCUGAAUUCAAAUGUUACUAAUGGUUAGUCAUUUAAAAUGAAAAUCUUUAUGUUCCUCUUAUUAUUUAGGACUAAGAGAUUGGCAAAACUGGUAUCACUUCACUUCUAUUUGGCGACUGAACGACAUCUUCGAUUACUUCACAUUCUUAUUUGUCUUCUUCUGCUUCUCUAUCUGGGUCUCUCAAUAAAUGUUUGUCGUCACUCAUUGCCAAUGUCUCGUAUUUAAAGAGGUAUUCGUUAGUGUCAAUGUACUCAUUCGCAGUAAUUUCUGACGCAAUCAAACUUUUAUCUCGUGCUCUGAGUUAAUCAGCCAGUGCUUGAAAUGUAUCAUCGGCAUGUUUUGCCGGCUAUGAAAAUGAUUUCCCACCAGAUUAAGUGAUAAAUGAAUACUAAAGUAAAUAGAAAAAAAAUAACAGAUAAAAAAUUUAUGAAAACUUUGUUAUAACGAGGGUAAUUAUGAAGAAGGGACCAAAAAUUGGGUUCGUAAUAACGAGAGUUCGUUAUAUCCGGGGUUCGUUAUACCGAGAGAAUUUAUAACGAAUUUGUUAGGCAGAAUCCAAGUGACCAGACAUCUAGUUCGUUAUACCGGGAACUUCUUAAUAUCCGGGGUUCGUUAUAUCGGGAUUCCAGUGUAGAUGCAGUCCACUUAAAAGGGAUAGAGUUCGCGCUCUCUAUCACAAUACCAUUGCAUAAACCAUCGAUGGGUAUCAAAGGUUUCAAGGCGGUUUUUGGAAGAACUCUUGGUUUGAGCAGGGUGUCAUCUUUGGCAACAAGAAGUGGAUUUUUAAUUGUUACUAAAUACUUUUAGAUGUGAAUAGAAAGAUAAUCUUUUUAUUGGUAUCACACAGCUUUACUCCACUUCUUACAUAGAAAUAUAACUGUUGAUGCUAUCAGAAUAUAUUUUCUUCCAAUCUACGUACCUCAGGUUCUCUAUUGAUACUUUAUUAAGGAAAAAUAAAACAUAACCAGUUUUGCAAUUGUAAAAGUUUUUGGCAUUUCUAAAAUUAUCUCUGCAAAUGCCAGAACGUAUUAAAAUGAUGGUUGCAGGGUCUUUGUUGAGAAUGUGUUGGCUUGGUAUUACUUAACAAGAAUGUUGCUUGGAAAAUUCGAAGUUCGUAAACCUGCAAUUCAGAUUGAGUGUAUAUUUUCUUCCGUUUUUCUAUUGUUUUGCUUAAAUGAGGCAAUUUGAAAAUUGUGAAUAAGAUAAGCUGAUGGAGCAGAAGUUUCUCCUUCACAGCGAGGAGUCGGUUGCAACACUCGUUGACAAUAUGUUUGCUUCAAAUUACCGCAAAGACAAAAACGUCUUCGAUAAAUUUUCAACUGCUUUUUGCUGGAUUUUUUUACUUCAUGCAAACAGAAGCGAAAUCAAAUAAGCUUGCAGAAAAACUUCAAAAGCGAUCCAUAAAAAAAUUAUCAGUUCCAGUUUGAAGGCUUAUGACAUGGAAGAAGACGCAGAAAAUGAAAUGAAUGGCGAAAGGGCCGUCUCAUUAGGCUUUUAAAGUUUACUGUUGCCUUUGGGUUCUACACUCCAAAUUGAAGUUUCUACGUUUGAUCUGCUUCAAACAUGAGCAAUUGAAAUCUAAAUUAAUUUUAUCAGAAUCUUAUUUUUAUGGAACUUUUUCUUCCAGAGAAAGAUGUAGACAGGUUCGUCAUGCCUAAGAACUAUUUAUCUGUUAUCUGCAAAUCCGAAAACUCACCAACAAAUAUGUUCAUAGUUUACCCAUUUCACAGAUAUUCUGGAGUGUUUCAAGUUCUUAGCAUGGGAAUGAGAUACCAGGUAAACCAUCAUUGCUCUCUCGCUGGCUCCCCUCCCUGUGAAGAGAGAAACUGUUAACAACGUAAUGAUAAGCAAAUAGAGCAAUGAGCAAUGAUUCAAACAACGCUUCAGUUCAGUUUCGUUCAAUUAUUAAUCCAUCCUACAUACAAUUUUACAAAAUUACGAUCAAAUUAAAUAUAAUAAACUAAGUCAACUUACUAAAUUUUACAAAACUACAAUUUUGAAAGGAAAGAGCCUUUCAUGAUUCCAUAUAGAAUAGGUUUAUUAAUGGGGUCUUAAGUUCAGCAGGUCUUGUAGACCAAAGAGUAUUAAUCUCAUUUAGCUUUUUGUUGGAUUGAGGAGACAUUGGCUCAGUGAACAGGCUUGUGAAAGCGUGCAUUGAGCUAAUGCUGGAAGUUCCCCCAUACGACCGAUAUUUCCUAUGUGUUUAUUUUUUUUGGGAGGUUUUGACUCUCUAGAAAUGGCACCAAUUUUGAAAUGUUUGAGCAAAGAAGUAGCUUUGGUGAUAAUGAUUGACACAGUCUAGUGGUUGCCAUCUGGAAAAUGUAACUUGCAGUUGCUUUUGGAUAUGGUCGAAUGAAACCGAAAAACAUAGAAAAGUAAGUUUUUUGUAACAAAAAUCGCAUUAUCUGUUAUACAGGGCGGAACUGUUCUUAUCAAAUUUUACCCAGGAAAACAAAAUAACAUUCGUCCAUCUUCCUUUUAAAGAUAUAGAGGCGCUUUUGAAAAUGCAAAGGGCAAGAGAUGAUGCUCCAACCCAUUGUUUUUAAUAAUAUUUUACAGAAUAGGAAUUUAAGCAGGGACUUUAAAACUGGGAGGAUUCGGAGGCCCAUGAUCUUGAGUAAGAAGGAUUUUUCAAGAUGCACCGUAGUAAGAAUUUUUGAGAAAAUGUCACUUUAUCUGCUAUAUAGUCCUUCUUACUACCCGUGAGGUUCUCCCAAGAUCCUUGUUGGCGAGAGUUGUCAUUAUUUUGAAUAUCAACUGACGUACUUUCAAUUUAUCUUAUAUUUACAAUUUGAUCUUAAAUUUUGUGCAAUGUUCUUGCUCAACAUUUGAAAUAUUAAAUUUUGGGAAUAAUCUGAAAAUUUUUCAAAUAAAGAAGAGAUUAAACAAAAACAGUUCAUCGACGAAAAAUAAAUAUGACUUAAACACAAAGAAUUACUAGUGCAGUCUCUUAAAGUUCUUAAGUAUGACGUCAUAGAAAAUAUGUUUUAAGAAAUUUCUAAUUUUGAAUACAUAGCCUUAAAGAUAAACACAAAAUACUCUGAAAUAUGAAAAAAUUAGACAAAUGUUUAAAAAAUCAGGUAAGAUAUUGUUAAUGAAAUAUUUAAAUUCUGCUAACUGAUCAUUGUUAUUUUGGCACUGGUCAUAAAGUUAUGAACAGACCAAAUUACAGAGAGACCAAAUUACAGAGAGACCAAAUUACAGAGAUACCAAUUACAGAGAGACCAAAUUACAGAGAGACCAAAUUACAGAAGUUUGAUGGGGGAAAAGCCUGCGCUCAUGUGGCCAUAUCUCAGCAAAUCCAUAGUACAUUUAACUGACUUUACAAGUUUUGGUGUUCUAAUAACUUUCUCUGUACGUCAGUAAAUAUUUCAUGCAGGCUAACAAAAGCUGUCACUAAUUUUUGGUUAAUUCUUCGCUGAAAAGCCCUUUAAAAUCCUUCUACUCUACCUUUUCCCUCUAAGCCACAUCAAGUCAAGACACACUAAGCCAGACAGCCCUGCCUUAUUCUUUUAAAAAGAAUACCAUGUUGUAAAAGUCACACUACGCCACUGCAUAGUAAAAAUGUCCACUGCGCCCAAAAAUAUCAUAUAAAAAAUAUCCCAAAAGACUCUCAACAAAUGUGUGUUGUAUCCAAAAAAAUUCCCAAUAUUCGUGGGGCAAUCUCUCCGUCAACUUCCAUCAAAAAACAAACAGGACACCAAUCGAGAGCACAUCUUGUUUAUCAAAGUUUUCCCAACCAGUUGGGCAUUUCUCUUUAUUUCUAAUUUUGAAAGAAACUAUCGUUUAGUAUUGCUACAAAUCAAUCGAUGCUUAAAUGGUUUGGUACCCAGUAGAAGAUACUUCAUACUCAAGACAUGCAAAUAAUUCUGUUGAUAUGAAGGUAUGUGUAAAAUUGUUCUCGUUUUUUCAGGGCAGAGAAAACGAAGACACCUUGACAUGAUACUUUCAUAUGUUUAGCACUAUUCACAUGGGCCUUAAUUGCGACUAAACGGUUAAUGUUACAAGUUACGAAAAAUUCAUUCGAGUUACUUUCUACCAUUUCACUGACCUACGCCAAAGAGUGGCUGACCUUUUUUAUUGAAGCUUCUUCCAGUAACUCACUACGGUUUAGACUUACGCACGUUCUUAUCAGGUUUAUGAACUGUUUCCUGAAAUAAGGCUAACCUGUGGCUUUCCACAUAUCAUGUGCUACUAUUCUUUCCAAAUUAUACGCAAAAGAUAUCUACAAUGCCUAAACUUCACAACAGUAUGUUAAGGUCAGAUAACUUUCAACGUUUAUUUUGUUACCUGUAGCAGCAUCUUUAAAAUCUAGUGAAGUCAUUGGCAUUGUUCAGCUCAUUCACUAUGCAUUGUUCUAAGGAAGAAACACACUUUGCCCUCGUCCUUGAAUCAAACCUCCGGAGGCCAAAAGUGUCCCAGCUUUACAGAUGAGGUAGAGCGAUGAAAGAAAGAGCGCGAGAAAGCACCUCGAUUGGCUGUUUAUCAGGCUAGUCACAAGAGAUCAUCCAUCACAAACAGCAUAAAAAUAGUAACUCAAACGAAUUGAUAUGCCCCGCGUGAAAUCAAGGAUAUUUCAAAAUUUGGAAUCAUGUGGGUCUAGCCUAACGUUCAAUUUGUUUGUUCUUUUCAUUGCAAGAUGUCUGAUUGUCUCGAGUUUAUCUAAUGACCCGUACGCAAAGUUUGAAUUCUUCAACUCUGGAAAUGGAUGUGAGAGGUAGCUAAGAGUCGGCUUUUUGGAAAAUGCUGUGUUGGAGAUGCAGAAGGAUGUGUGUAGCCUAGUUCUUUGCAGAUCUCGUUCUAUCCGAAUCAAGGUAAGAUUUUGAACCUUCGUUUAUCAUUGGAAUAUAAUUUGCCAUCCCCAGCUUCUGUUGCUGAUACGGUUUCAUCGGCUGGAACACGACUCUAAUUUUCACGACUCUUCUUUAGCUUUGCCUAAAAUUUAGAUUGGAUUUAUUUCUCAACUUUUUUUGACGCAAAGCUGGAAGUUCCAGCUUUUUAGUAGCUGGUGCUUUCCACUUUUUCCUUUUAUUCAAUGCAAAUGAAAUCAAAAGUUUUGUUUGUUUUGCCAGUUUUGACCGUACCAUGCGAUCCACCUUCCCAAAGUUGAACCGGUUGGUGCGCAGCUAAUUAAAUUGGUCAAAUGCGAAAACAAUUCCAGAGGCAACCAAUUCAUUUUUUUUGAUUGGGCUGAGCGCAGUGCGUUUAUGCAAGCAUUAUGUCCAAGUUGCUCUCGAUGAUGCGAGAACGUAGUCAAUUGAUACCUAUCGAAUGUGUUUCUGAGGGGGCUUAUUUACCUUAAUUUUAUUUUGUUACUUUUUUUCUGAGUUAGAAAAUUAAUGUUAAACUGGUCAGAUGUAGAGUGGUAGAUGCCGCAUACAGAACCGUACACGCAAGUCAGUUCUGCUGUAUAGGCAAAGCUGUACACGCGAGAUUAGCAGAGUCGCUACUCAAAACAUUCUUGCUCUGUAUACCAAAGAACUAUUCAUAUAUUUCUAUAUCAAUCAUUGAUCAAAACACUUCUCCUCAGUUACAAGCUUAAAGUAUCUUAAAAUAUUUGACUUCUAGCCCACUUAUUGCUCAAAAUUUACGCUUGCCUGAAGAGCCUUACCUUUCCUGGUUGCACUUAUCAAAGCUUCACGAUCAACCGGGUGAAGAUCUAGGGGCAGAUUACACAAUCAAUCAAAUAGUUUGCGUUUGCGUUGUAUGUAUCCUAUUUGCUUUCAGACGUUCAUCUGAAAUUUCUUUUAAGAGCCAGUGAUUGCACGAUCUUCCCAUGUAACCUCCAAAUCUUUAGAGGACGCUAGCCGAGGAAAAGCCCAGGUAAAGCCUCUCACAUAAUUAUUGCCAGCAAUAAAGAUUAUUGUUAUCCCUUCUCCAAGGACCGAGAUACUGGGGGGGGGGGGCUUGCCUCCCCUAUAAGCAGAAUACUUUUAUUUUGCAAAAUAUGACUUCAAACAAAACGUUGUAUCUCGGUCUUUGCCUUUCUCCCGUCUUCAACACUUUCGACAUAAUCUUAUGACAAUGGGAACAGCCAAUUUCUUUAGAAAAUAUAGAACAAUCAUUGCAUUAUAUUGAUUUUUGCAUUUAUAGCAAACUUUGUAAGAGAAUACUUUGCAAGAAAAUUUCAAACUUUGACGAGUUCUUUCUCUCUGAAGUAAGUUUCCAGUGUUCCUAUUCUGCUAUUCCUUAACGGAUCAUGAUGAUACGUUUUAGAAAGUUACAUGGAAGCUUGAAAUAUCAUAAAACAAUACCAAAAGCACAUUGUAGCAAAUGUUUAGAUUCUGUUAUUCGUACAUUCUUAAGAGGGUGCUUUGAAGUUCCAGUAUGUGAUGAGAUGUACUAUCAGGCGUUGUGUCACCAAUCUCUGUAUAGCUUCUUUUUAGCCAAAGUAUACCUCGAGCUUGGAACGAGCCUAGCUAGUAGCCAUCUUAGUUUUCCGCAUACGGUGCUCGUCACGUCAUGUUCCAAAACACGCUACAACAAUACAUGCGUCACUACACAACAUCACCCCCCUUAAACAAAGUUUAGUUAUUCGAACGAGAGAGUCUCACAUAACGAUUGGUUAAAAAUAUGAACUAUGAAACUGAAUUUGAAAAUGUGUACAAAAGAAUACGAGUCUUUUGUUUCAACAUAACAAUUGAUUAGGUUUAAAAGAAAUAAAACUGCGACUAACGUCUCCAUGAUGACUUACUGUGUAGUUUGAAAUGUCACACUUGUUUCAUGGAAAUAGUUUGGUCGAGCAGUGAUCUUUUUGGAAUAUCUUUUUUCUUGAUUAUUCGUUUCGUCUUUCUCCUCUUCUUUUACAUUCCGAGAAAUUCCAUUAUCAAGGAAGCCAUUAUCAAUUUCAUAACUUUCAUCUUCUGAUUUAAUCAAACUGUCCUUUACUCCUACUCUUCUAAAGAAAGAUACUUUCCUUGCAGUAUUCUUUCCAUUUUUACUUGUAGUAAUCAUUGGUCCCAGUGGCGGAUCUAGACAAAAAUUUGAGUGGGUUCCAAUAUGGGCGUGGUUUCAUAUUUUUCUGGCACGCCCUUGACUUUUGUCCCAAAUUGGGCGGCGCCCAUUUUCGCUUUUUGAUAAGAUUCACAAUUGCAAGAUUUGAUUUUAACAAGAUAUAUUAUUUUAUCAUGAUUUCAAGGCAAGUAAAAAAAUAAAUCUGUAAACCAAACCAGGAAUUGUCAUUAUGAAUUCUAAAAGAAUGGUUUCGAUUUCUUGCCAAACAGAGGACCUUAAUAAAUUCCUCUAGCUGGUUACAGCAGGACAUAAGCUUGCUGAGUGUUGCAUAAUUUGAGUGAAGUUCCUGCUAUAAAUAUUGCCAAAUAAUAAACAAGACAAUUUAGAUAUAUUCACAAAGUUUGUCAAAAAUGGAUAACGAUGGAUGAAGCCUCUUAUCAUAUAUAGCAAACAAACCCAAUUAUUAACAAGUGCAAAUUAUGACAUCAUCUUAUCCCAUUCUCUAAAGUCUUUCAUUUUAUCUUAAUAAAGUUCUCUCAUUCUAUAGAUAAAUAUAUUCUGUAUAGGGCUUCAAGAGUUCUAUAAACUUUCCACGUCAAAGAGAAAAUAUCUUCGACAUUCCUGAGUUCCUGCCAAGAAUUCUCUGCUGCUAAUUGCAACGAAUUCUCUCGUGAACGCCACUUUACAGCUAUCUGAAAUGGACUUUUCGCUUGAUCCAUGAGCAAGGCGUGUUUGUAAAGCUUUGUCGAAGAUUCAUAGCACUUUUCCAUACGAUUAUCAAAUUUCAUUGAUCUUCAGGUGCCGGUCCCUUCCUGGUUGAGGGCUUAAAACAAGCUCUCGUCAUCGUGCAGUCAAAGCCUCUACUCACAGCUUCAAGUCGCCAUUAUGACAACAGGAAGCAUGUAUGGUCAGCGGUUUAAAUAAGUUCCAAUGAGUUCGGGAGAUGGGUUCCAAGAGGGUUCUUUUGUUUGUAGUAAAAACAAUUUAAGACAAUUGAUUGCCAUGGCCACGACAGGGUUCCUUUCUUUAGAGGAGUAUAGUAUGUUACAAAAGAUAACCAUGGCUACGACAGGGUUUCUUUCUUUCACAAUACCAUGUUUAGAGAGCAGCAAAGGUUUUGGUACAAGAGGCCAUUUGACGUUGGGACUGGUUACGAUUAAUUCAAAAGUAAAGGGAAAAGAUUAAACAGAUUAAAGAAGAGAUUAAGAAAUAAAGAAGAGAUUAAACAAAAACAGGUCAUCGACGAAAAAUAAAUAUGACUUAAACACAAAGAAUUACUAGUGCAGUCUCUUAAAGUUCUUAAGUAUGACGUCAUAGAAAAUAUGUUUUAAGAAAUUUCUAAUUUUGAAUACAUAGCCUUAAAGAUAAACACAAAAUACUCUGAAAUAUGAAAAAUUAGACAAAUGUUUAAAAAAUCAGGUAAGAUAUUGUUAAUGAAAUAUUUAAAUUCUGCUAACUGAUCAUUGUUAUUUUGGCACUGGUCAUAAAGUUAUGAACAGACCAAAUUACAGAGAGACCAAAUUACAGAGAUACCAAUUACAGAGAGACCAAAUUACAGAGAGACCAAAUUACAGAUAGACCAAAUUAGGGAGAGACAAAAUUACAGAGAGACCAAAUUACAGAGGUUUGAUGGGGAAAAGGCCUGCGCUCAUGUGGCCAUAUCUCAGCAAAUCCAUAGUACAUUUAACUGACUUUACAAGUUUUGGUGUUCUAAUAACUUUCUCUGUACGUCAGUAAAUAUUUCAUGCAGGCUAACAAAAGCUGUCACUAAUUUUUGGUUAAUUCUUCGCUGAAAAGCCCUUUAAAAUCCUUUUCCCUCUAAGCCACAUCAAGUCAAGACACACUAAGCCAGACAGCCCUGCCUUAUUCUUUUAAAAAGAAUACCAGGUUGUAAAAGUCACACUACGCCACUGCAUAGUAAAAAUGUCCACUGCGCCCAAAAAUAUCAUAUAAAAAAUAUCCCAAAAGACUCUCAACCAGUGUGUGUUGUAUCCAAAAAAAUUCCCAAUAUUCGUGGGGCAAUCUCUCCGUCAACUUCCAUCAAAAAACAAACAGGACACCAAUCGAGAGCACAUCUUGUUUAUCAAAGUUUUCCCAACCAGUUGGGCAUUUCUCUUUAUUUCUAAUUUUGAAAGAAACUAUCGUUUAGUAUUGCUACAAAUCAAUCGAUGCUUAAAUGGUUUGGUACCCAGAAGUAGAUACUUCAUACUCAAGACAUGCAAAUAAUUCUGUUGAUAUGAAGGUAUGUGUAAAAUUGUUCUCGUUUUUUCAGGGCAGAGAAAACGAAGACACCUUGACAUGAUACUUUCAUAUGUUUAGCACUAUUCACAUGGGCCUUAAUUGCGACUAAACAGUUAAUGUUACAAGUUACGAAAAAUUCAUUCGAGUUACUUUCUACCAUUUCACUGACCUACGCCAAAGAGUGGCUGACCUUUUUUAUUGAAGCUUCUUCCAGUAACUCACUACGGUUCAGACUUACGCACGUUCUUAUCAGGUUUAUGAACUGUUUCCUGAAAUAAGGCUAACCUGUGGCUUUCCACAUAUCAUGUGCUACUAUUCUUUCCAAAUUAUACGCAAAAGAUAUCUACAAUGCCUAAACUUCACAACAGUAUGUUAAGGUCAGAUAACUUUCAACGUUUAUUUUGUUACCUGUAGCAGCAUCUUUAAAAUCUAGUGAAGUCAUUGGCAUUGUUCAGCUCAUUCACUAUGCAUUGUUCUAAGGAAGAAACACACUUUGCCCUCGUCCUUGAAUCAAACCUCCGGAGGCCAAAAGUGUCCCAGCUUUACAGAUGAGGUAGAGCGAUGAAAGAAAGAGCGCGAGAAGGCACCUCGAUUGGCUGUUUAUCAGGCUAGUCACAAGAGAUCAUCCAUCACAAACAGCAUAAAAAUAGUAACUCAAACGAAUUGAUAUGCCCCGCGUGAAAUCAAGGAUAUUUCAAAAUUUGGAAUCAUGUGGGUCUAGCCUAACGUUUAAUUUGUUUGUUCUUUUCAUUGCAAGAUGUCUGAUUGUCUCGAGUUUAUCUAAUGACCCGUACGCAAAGUUUGAAUUCUUCAACUCUGGAAAUGGAUGUGAGAGGUAGCUAAGAGUCGGCUUUUUGGAAAAUGCUGUGUUGGAGAUGCAGAAGGAUGUGUGUAGCCUAGUUCUUUGCAGAUCUCGUUUUAUCCGAAUCAAGGUAAGAUUUUGAACCUUCGUUUAUCAUUGGAAUAUAAUUUGCCAUCCCCAGCUUCUGUUGCUGAUACGGUUUCAUCGGCUGGAACACGACUCUAAUUUUCACGACUCUUCUUUAGCUUUGCCUAAAAUUUAGAUUGGAUUUAUUUCUCAACUUUUUUUGACGCAAAGCUGGAAGUUCCAGCUUUUUAGUGGCUGGUGCUUUCCACUUUUUCCUUUUAUUCAAUGCAAAUGAAAUCAAAAGUUUUGUUUGUUUUGCCAGUUUUGACCGUACCAUGCGAUCCACCUUCCCAAAGUUGAACCCGUUGGUGCGCAGCUAAUUAGAUUGGUCAAAUGCGAAAACAAUUCCAGAGGCAACCAAUUCAUUUUUUUGAUUGGGCUGAGCGCAGUGCGUUUAUGCAAGCAUUAUGUCCAAGUUGCUCUCGAUGAUGCGAGAACGUAGUCAAUUGAUACCUAUCGAAUGUGUUUCUGAGGGGGCUUAUUUACCUUAAUUUUAUUUUGUUACUUUUUUUCUGAGUUAGAAAAUUAAUGUUAAACUGGUCAGAUGUAGGGUGGUAGAUGCCGCAUACAGAACCGUACACGCAAGUCAGUUCUGCUGUAUAGGCAAAGCUGUACACGCGAGAUUAGCAGAGUCGCUACUCAAAACAUUCUUGCUUUGUAUACCAAAGAACUAUUCAUAUAUUUCUAUAUCAAUCAUUGAUCAAAGCACUUCUCCUCAGUUACAAGCUUAAAGUAUCUUAAAAUAUUUGACUUCUAGCCCACUUAUUGCUCAAAAUUUAUGCUUGCCUGAAGAGCCAUACCUUUCCUGAUUGCACUUAUCAAAGCUUCACGAUCAACCGGGUGAAGAUCUAGGGGCAGAUUACACAAUCAAAUAGUUUGCGUUUGCGUUGUAUGUAUCCUAUUUGCUUUCAGACGUUCAUCUGAGAUUUCUUUUAAGAGCCAGUGAUUGCACGAUCUUCCCAUGUAACCUCCAAAUCUUUAGAGGACGCUAGCCGAGGAAAAGCCCAGGUAAAGCCUCUCACAUAAUUAUUGCCAGCAAUAAAGAUUAUUGUUAUCCCUUCUCCAAGGACCGAGAUACUGGGGGGGGGGCCUUGCCCCCCCUAUAAGCAGAAUACUUUUAUUUUGCAAAAUAUGACUUCAAACAAAACGUUGUAUCUCGGUCUUUGCCCUUCUCCCGUCUUCAACACUUUCGACAUGAUCUUAUGACAAUGGGAACAGCCAAUUUCUUUAGAAAAUAUAGAACAAUCAUUGCAUUAUAUUGAUUUUUGCAUUUAUAGCAAACUUUGUAAGAGAAUACUUUGCAAGAAAAUUUCAAACUAUGACGAGUUCUUUCUCUCUGAAGUAAGUUUCCAGUGUUCCUAUUCUGCUAUUCCUUAACGGAUCAUGAUGAUACGUUUUAGAAAGUUACAUGGAAGCUUGAAAUAUCAUAAAACAAUACCAAAAGCACAUUGUAGCAAAUGUUUAGAUUCUGUUAUUCGUUCAUUCUUAAGAAGGUGCUUUGAAGUUCCAGUAUGUGAUGAGAUGUACUAUCAGGCGUUGUGUCACCAAUCUCUGUAUAGCUUCUUUUUAGCCAAAGUAUACCUCGAGCUUGGAACGAGCCUAGCUAGUAGCCAUCUUAGUUUUCCGCAUACGGUGCUCGUCACGUCAUGUUCCAAAACACGCUACAACAAUACAUGCGUCACUACACAACAUCACCCCCCUUAAACAAAGUUUAGUUAUUCGAACGAGAGAGUCUCACAUAACGAUUGGUUAAAAAUAUGAACUAUGAAACUGAAUUUGAAAAUGUGUACAAAAGAAUACGAGUCUUUUGUUUCAACAUAACAAUUGAUUAGGUUUAAAAGAAAUAAAACUGCGACUAACGUCUCCAUGAUGACUUACUGUGUAGUUUGAAAUGUCACACUUGUUUCAUGGAAAUAGUUUGGUCGAGCAGUGAUCUUUUUGGAAUAUCUUUUUUCUUGAUUAUUCGUUUCGUCUUUCUCCUCUUCUUUUACAUUCCGAGAAAUUCCAUUAUCAAGGAAGCCAUUAUCAAUUUCAUAACUUUCAUCUUCUGAUUUAAUCAAACUGUCCUUUACUCCUACUCUUCUAAAGAAAGAUACUUUCCUUGCAGUAUUCUUUCCAUUUUUACUUGUAGUAAUCAUUGGUCCCAGUGGCGGAUCUAGACAAAAACUUGAGUGGGUUCCAAUAUGGGCGUGGUUCCAUAUUUUUCUGGCACGCCCUUGACUUUUGUCCCAAAUUGGGCGGCGCCCAUUUUCGCUUUUUGAUAAGAUUCACAAUUGCAAGAUUUGAUUUUAACAAGAUAUAUUAUUUUAUCAUGAUUUCAAGGCAAGUAAAAAAAUAAAUCUGUAAACCAAACCAGGAAUUGUCAUUAUGAAUUCUAAAAGAAUGGUUUCGAUUUCUUGCCAAACAGAGGACCUUAAUAAAUUCCUCUAGCUGGUUACAGCAGGACAUAAGCUUGCUGAGUGUUGCAUAAUUUGAGUGAAGUUCCUGCUAUAAAUAUUGCCAAAUAAUAAACAAGACAAUUUAGAUAUAUUCACAAAGUUUGUCAAAAAUGGAUAACGAUGGAUGAAGCCUCUUAUCAUAUAUAGCAAACAAACCCAAUUAUUAACAAGUGCAAAUUAUGACAUCAUCUUAUCCCAUUCUCUAAAGUCUUUCAUUUUAUCUUAAUAAAGUUCUCUCAUUCUAUAGAUAAAUAUAUUCUGUAUAGGGCUUCAAGAGUUCUAUAAACUUUCCACGUCAAAGAGAAAAUAUCUUCGACAUUCCUGAGUUCCUGCCAAGAAUUCUCUGCUGCUAAUUGCAACGAAUUCUCUCGUGAACGCCACUUUACAACUAUCUGAAAUGGACUUUUCGCUUGAUCCAUGAGCAAGGCGUGUUUGUAAAGCUUUGUCGAAGAUUCAUAGCACUUUUCCAUACGAUUAUCAAAUUUCAUUGAUCUUCAGGUGCUGGUCCCUUCCUGGUUGUGAGCUUAAAACAAGCUCUCGUCAUCGUGCAGUCAAAGCCUCUACUCACAGCUUCAAGUCGCCAUUAUGACAACAGGAAGCAUGUAUGGUCAGCGGUUUAAAUAAGUUCCAAUGAGUUCGGGAGAUGGGUUCCAAGAGGGUUCUUUUGUUUGUAGUAAAAACAAUUUAAGACAAUUGAUUGCCAUGGUCACGACAGGGUUCCUUUCUUUAGAGGAGUAUAAUAUGUUACAAAAGAUAACCAUGACUACGACAGGGUUUCUUUCUUUCACAAUACCAUGUUUAGAGAGCAGCAAAGGUUUUGGUACAAGAGGCCAUUUGACGUUGGGACUGGUUACGAUUAAUUCGAAAGUAAAGGGAAAACUGGUGUUAUGUGUUUUUGGAAAAUUUGACAGGGUUCCAGAACCCUUGGAACCUGGUCUGAAUCCGCCACUGAUUGGUCCAAUACUUUCUGCGAUGGUGUUAAUUUUGGAUCCUAUGGAGGCAUAGCCUUAUUUCUUUGUCUUUGUUUUACAAUAACCUUAUUUCCCUUGAAAGGAAGCCCAUUGUCAGAUUUCAUUGUGACUGGUAUUCUAUGUGUGCUAAAAAUAUUUUCCAAUAUUGGUAUAGCAUUCCUCACUAGAAGAAAGUACCAUUUCCGUAUAUCUGGAAAAUUCAUCCAAGCACACAAAGAGAUACCUAUGAUCCUUCCUAUCGGACCUUUGAAAUCUAUAGCUACUUCUUCCCAUAGACUAUCAGGCAGGCCUUGCAUUUAAAAUGGCUCUAGCUUGUUCCCUUUAAUAGUGGCUUGGCAUGCAAGUUAAUGAUACAGUGAAUUUCCUUGAAAUGUCUUUUUGUUUAAUAUGUACCGUAGUCAACUAUGAAAGCACAGUUUUAGAUUCUGCAUUGCUGAAUCUUUUCUUUGUUUCAUCCUUAACUUCAUCUUUUGUCAUUGCUUUUAGAACUGUAGGCAGGGCAUUCCUCUCAAAUCGACCACACUGUCUAACCUUUGUUUUCUCAGCUGAUUAUGGAACUAUACGGUAGAACGAAUAAUUUAAGCCCUUAAAACGUUUUAAAAAAUUCAUCAUCGUUACCGUUGACGUAAAAAAGUUAUGUUUGGUAGAAUAAAAAAGACCUUUUCCCUCAAGAUAUAUGCCAAUAAAGAUGUCUAUUCUUUUUUCCUUAAACAUUGUAGAAUUAGAUAGAAUAUCUCCAGCUAUUCCUAGCCAUUAAGAUCCUGACUCACCAAACACAAGAGCAACUGUUUCCAGCGGUUUUGCCUAUGAUUUUGUUACAAGGAUUAACUGAGAACUUGGUCAAUAAUUAUCUUGCUUCUUUCAAAUUCGCAGCUUCUAUCGCUAGUCGUCCCUUGUGAUCUGAGCGUCGCUCACAUAGUGUGUCGGAUUCCGUCGAGCAGCCUGUUAUCGUGGCCUUUCCUUCAUUCACACAUUCACAAUUCUUAGGGCACAGUUCAAGACUUUUUCGUUGUACGUAGCAGAUUUGUACAUGCAACUUCAACUAACACAAUGGGAAUUGAUUUAUCAUCGUGGAGAACAGGUAUUGGCUAGUUUACACAUUCUAAUCGAACUACAUAUUCUGCCGAUGAUUUACACAAAUCUAAAUCACAUCUUCCUGUUACAACUGGUUAGAAGCACAAUACUAUUUUCCUUAUCGUCUUAAUUAUGCCACUUACAUAUAUACAUAUUUUAGUUAUAUCAAUCUGAAUAUUUGAUAUCGAAAUCAAUCCCGGCCCGCUGUCUACCGAUCCGACACCACCAUUGCCUAUUUCAAUUGUACUAAAAAGUCCGUUUACUUUUGCUCUGACGAAGCCCGGUAUGCCGGGGCGAGAUAUAAGCCAUAAUUGAUUUCCGUGUUAUUCAUUCUCGUCGCGUUGCGGUGUUACUAAUUUACUACAUUUUAUUAGAAAUAUUCUCAUCGUUGUCUUCCAGUGUAAGAAUCGAGUCACUGAAUGAUACUGCUGAAUCGACCAAGGCUGCUUGGGACCUUGCUUAAAUAACGAAAACCUUCAUGGACCCUUUACAGCGGUGCGAUAUCUUCUUAACAUUCACACUAUGUUCAUUUUUUGUACAAGCUUCUCGCACAAUCAAAUGAGCAUUACUUCCACCAUAUCCAAAAGAAUUUAUGGCAGCAACUUUGGCUUUACUGCUCGAAUCUGGCCAAUCACAAGUCUUAGUUGUGACCACAAGAUUUUUUCUUUAAUAUCUAGUCUCACUGUUUGGUUUUCGAUCCCAACAGUAGGCAAAGUAUCUCUGAUGUUACGAUUUCAGAGACACCAAGCAUGUUCAUUGAAAGCUUUCGUAUGAGAAAUUCGUUUUUAACCCACAGAUCGACCUCCUGCCACGGGUAGUUAGGAAAUCGAAUAAACUUUCCUUGCCUUUGGUCUUGAAGCAGAUUGAAAGAUAUAUCAUAUUCAAGUGUGUACAUCUGGCCAAUUGUUUGUGCAUACAAAUGUUGUAAUCUUUUCUCCUCUCCCUUUUUUGGCAGUGUCUAUUGAUUUUAAAAGUGUCUAUAUAGUUAGGCAACUGUGCCUAGACAUAUUUUAAGUACAUAUUUAAAAGUACAAAGACGUCAUAUUAUACUAGUAAAAGUAUUUCCAGCCAAAACACAGAGAGGAGAAAUUUCUAUGGUCAUCCUUUUCUUCACUAUAAAUUAUAUAGCUCUAUUUCAGCUAAUCAUUCACAGCCGCUAUGCAGAUUUGCUGCUUUAGGAAACAUUUUUCAAGAAUUGUCUCAAGCUCUUUUGUGGUCAACCCUGAAAGGAACACCGAAACGUUAAAAGAAAAAGGCAUAACGGACAGGGCUGGUUUCAAAAUCCUCAACUACAAGAAACACAUUUAAACUAAAGGCGAGAAUGAUAAGCGUACUAGGUGUAGCUUUUCAUAAGCGAUAAUCGACGUUGAUUCCUGUGCUGCGAAAUCGGAGCACCGCCUGAACCUCGAACAUCUGUAAUCUGUAAGAUAACUACGAUAAAACACCGUAACAUUGUAUGAGUUACUUCCUUGCUGCUAUAGUUAAUACGAUGUUUUUAGCUCAAUGACCUUUGCUAUUUAAAAAUACGUAUGAGUAGUCGAGUGACCUACCUAUAGCUGCCAUUGCUCCAAGUGAUUUACACUCGUCUUGCAACGAUGCUCUAGCCAUAAUGACGUCAACUGCCUUCUUCACUUUUAUUAUGCCAGCUACACAGGCAGCUGUAAUGUCCCCUAAGCUAUGACCCCCUAUAGCUUUUGGGAUGAUCGAGGCACUCGUUUUCAAGAACUUGGCUACUGCAUAUUGCAGAGCAAAGAUUGACAGUUGCACCGUGACAAGACAGUCCUCUUUACAUUUGUCAUCUUCUCCUUUCAGAUAUGCCAACAAAGAUCCUUUAUGUCCUCUUUUUCUUGAUCGUUUGUCAAUCCUUUUU